GACGAACGCUGGCGGCGCGCUUAACACAUGCAAGUCGAGCGAUGAAAUCUUAACAGAACCCUUCGGGGUGAAGAUAAGACGGAUUAGCGGCGGACGGGUGAGUAACACGUGAGUAACCUGCCUUUUACACAGGGAUAGCCUCAGGAAACCGGGAUUAAAACCUGAUGAAACUAUCAAAUCACAUGAUUAAGAAAGUUAAAACUCCGGUGGUAAAAGAUGGACUCGCGUCCCAUUAGCUAGUUGGUGAAGGUAACGGCCCACCAAGGCAACGAUGGGUAGCCGGCCUGAGAGGGUGAACGGCCACAUUGGAACUGAGAAACGGUCCAAACUCCCACGGGAGGCAGCAGUGGGGAAUAUUGCACAAUGGGGGAAACCCUGAUGCAGCGACGCCGCGUGAGCGAAGAAGGCCUUCGGGUCGUAAAGCUCUUUUAUAUGGGAAGAUAAUGACGGUACCAUAAGAAAAAGCCCCGGCUAACUACGUG
rnacentral:rRNA from 1 species